rnacentral:pre_miRNA from 12 species
GCCACUUGAAGAGAGGUUAUCUUUUGUGUGUUUAUUUUAUUUGUAAUGCAGAUACAAGGGCAAGCUCUCUCUGAGGAGC